rnacentral:tRNA from 1 species
AUUCAUUUACUAUAAAAAGUAGAAUAAGCUUCCAACUUAUGAGUCCAUAAAAUGGAAUGAAUA